UACGGGGGGGGCAAGCGUUGUUCGGAAUUACUGGGCGUAAAGGGCUCGUAGGUGGCCCACUAAGUCAUACGUGAAAUCCCUCGGCUUAACCGGGGAACUGCGUCUGAUACUGGAUGGCUUGAGGUUGGGAGAGGGAUGCGGAAUUCCAGGUGUAGCGGUGAAAUGCGUAGAUAUCUGGAGGAACACCGGUGGCGAAGGCGGCAUCCUGGACCAAUUCUGACACUGAGGAGCGAAAGCCAGGGGAGCAAACGGG
rnacentral:rRNA from 1 species